rnacentral:rRNA from 1 species
UACGUAGACCUCAAGCGUUAUCCGGAUUUAUUGGGCGUAAAGCGUGUGUAGGAGGGUUGUGCGCGUUUUUGGUUAAAUCCCACUGCCUAACAGUGGACCGGCCAAGAAUACGGCAUACCUAGAGGAAGUUAGAGGUGCAUGGAGCGCACGGUGUAGGGGUGAAAUCCGUUGAUAUCGUGCGAAACACCAAAGGCGAAGGCAGUGCACUGGGACUUUCCUGACUCUGAGACACGAAAGCGUGGGGA